rnacentral:rRNA from 1 species
UACAGGGGGGGCAAGCGUUGUUCGGAAUUACUGGGCGUAAAGGGUUUGUAGGUGGCUUGUUAAGUCAGACGUGAAAUCCCUCAGCUUAACUGGGGAACUGCGUCUGAUACUGAUGAGCUUGAGUGCAGGAGAGGAACGCGGAAUUCCAGGUGUAGCGGUGAAAUGCGUAGAUAUCCGGAGGAACACCGGUGGCGAAGGCGGCUUCCUGGACCGACACUGACGCUGAGGCGCGAAAGCUAGGGGAGCAAACGGG